CGUCUAUAUACGUAUAGCAUAUCAAUAAGCGGAGGAAAAGAAACUAACAAGGAUUCCCUUAGUAACGGCGAGUGAAGCGGGAAGAGCUCAAAUUCGAAAUCUUCAAGGUUCUACCUUGACGAAUUGUAGUUUAAAGAAGUGUUUUCUGUUAGAGGAGUAGCAAAAGUUCCUUGGAGUGGGACAUCAUAGAGGGUGAGAAUCCCGUAUUUGGUUAUUCUUUCUAGCUUUGUGAUACACUUUCAAGAGUCGGAUUGUUUGGGAAUGCAGUCCAAAAUGGGUGGUGAAUUUCAUCUAAAGCUAAAUAUUGGCGAGAGACCGAUAGCGAACAAGUACCGUGAGGGAAAGAUGAAAAGAACUUUGAAAAGAGAGUUAAACAGUACGUGAAAUUGUCAAAAGGGAAGCGUUUGACACCAGUGUUGUUGUUUUUUUCCGAAAAUCAAUUAAGAGUGGCUUGAUUUUGUGUUGUAUUGACCUUAUCAGCUUUCUUCACUCUUUUUCGAGUCUUUCUUAAUGCACUUUUCGGUUAACAAGUCAACAUCAAUUUCUUUUGUUGUAAAAGGGUAUUUGGAAGGUGGCUUUCUUUUCGGAGAAAGUGUUUAUAGCCUUAUACCUCUACAAUCGGAGAGAUUGAGGUCUGCAGCGUAGAUCCUUCGGGGCUAGAUACACUUGUGCUAAGUUAUAGCUUUUCAUAGACAACUUGUUGACUAUGUUUAGUCAUGUAGCUUACCCGCUUGUGCUAUUUUACCUACGCUUAGGAUGUUGAGUCAUCACACAUCUCUC
rnacentral:rRNA from 1 species